CAAUAGCGUAUAUGUAAGUUGUUGCAGUUAAAAAGCUCGUAGUCGGAUUUUGGCUGAGAACGAUCGGUCCGCCGUUAGGUGUGCACUGAUUGGUCUCAGCUUCCUGGUGAGGAGGUGUGCUUCACGGCCACUUAGUCACCGUGGUUACUUUGAAAAAAUUAGAGUGUUCAAAGCGGGCUUACGCUUGAAUAUAUUAGCAUGGAAUAACACCAUAGGACUCCUGUCCUAUUUCGUUGGUCUCGGGACGGGAGUAAUGAUUAAGAGGAACAGUUGGGGGCAUUCGUAUUUCAUUGUCAGAGGUGAAAUUCUUGGAUUUAUGAAAGACGAACUUCUGCGAAAGCAUUUGCCAAGGAUGUUUUCAUUGA
rnacentral:rRNA from 1 species